UAAUUCAAGGGAUUGGGACGAGCGAACUUGUUCGCGAAGCAAUCGGAAGUGGUUCCAAGAAAAGCCUCUAAGCUUCAGUCAUACGAGACCGUACCGCAAACCGACACAGGUGGGCGAGAUGAGUAUUCUAAGGCGCUUGAGAGAACUCGGGAGAAGGAACUCGGCAAAUUGGUACCGUAACUUCGGGAAAAGGUACGCCCCGGUAGCUUGGUCACUUUACUGUGAUAGGGCGAAAGGGUUGCAAUAAACUGGUGGCUGCGACUGUUUAAUAAAAACACAGCACUCUGCAAACACGAAAGUGGACGUAUAGGGUGUGACGCCUGCCCGGUGCUGGAAGAUUAAAUGAUGGGGUGCAAGCUCUUGAUUGAAGUCCCAGUAAACGGCGGCCGUAACUAUAACGGUCCUAAGGUAGCGAAAUUCCUUGUCGGGUAAGUUCCGACCUGCACGAAUGGCGUAACGAUGGCCACACUGUCUCCUCCCGAGACUCAGCGAAGUUGAAGUGUUUGUGAUGAUGCAAUCUACCCGCGGCUAGACGGAAAGACCCCAUGAACCUUUACUGUAGCUUUGCAUUGGACUUUGAACCAAUCUGUGUAGGAUAGGUGGGAGGCUUUGAAGCGGGGACGCCAGUUCUCGUGGAGCCAACCUUGAAAUACCACCCUGGUUUGUUUGAGGUUCUAACCUUGGUCCGUAAUCCGGAUCGGGGACAGUGCAUGGUAGGCAGUUUGACUGGGGCGGUCUCCUCCUAAAGUGUAACGGAGGAGUUCGAAGGUACGCUAAUUACGGUCGGACAUCGUGAUGAUAGUGCAAUGGCAUAAGCGUGCUUAACUGCGAGACCGACAAGUCGAGCAGGUACGAAAGUAGGACAUAGUGAUCCGGUGGUUCUGUAUGGAAGGGCCAUCGCUCAACGGAUAAAAGGUACUCUGGGGAUAACAGGCUGAUUCCUCCCAAGAGUUCAUAUCGACGGGGGAGUUUGGCACCUCGAUGUCGGCUCAUCACAUCCUGGGGCUGUAGCCGGUCCCAAGGGUAUGGCUGUUCGCCAUUUAAAGUGGUACGUGAGCUGGGUUUAAAACGUCGUGAGACAGUUUGGUCCCUAUCUGCCGUGGGCGUUGGAAAUUUGAAGGGGGCUGCUCCUAGUACGAGAGGACCGGAGUGGACGAACCUCUGGUGUACCGGUUGUCACGCCAGUGGCAUUGCCGGGUAGCUAAGUUCGGAAGAGAUAACCGCUGAAAGCAUCUAAGCGGGAAACUUGCCUUAAGAUGAGAUUUCCCAGAGCCUUGAGCUCUUUGAAGGGUCGUUCGAGACCAGGACGUUGAUAGGUCAGGUGUGGAAGUGCAGUAAUGCAUUAAGCUAACUGAUACUAAUUGCCCGUAAGGCUUGUCCCUAUAACCUUGACGGUUAUAU
rnacentral:rRNA from 1 species